AUUGAACGCUGGCGGAAUGCUUUAAACAUGCAAGUCGAACGGCAGCACGGGGCAACCUGGUGGCGAGUGGCGAACGGGUGAGUAAUAUAUCGGAACGUGCCCAAUCGUGGGGGAUAACGUAGCGAAAGUUACGCUAAUACCGCAUACGAUCUACGGAUGAAAGCGGGGGAUCGCAAGACCUCGCGCGAAUGGAGCGGCCGAUAUCAGAUUAGGUAGUUGGUGGGGUAAAGGCUCACCAAGCCAACGAUCUGUAGCUGGUCUGAGAGGACGACCAGCCACACUGGAACUGAGACACGGUCCAGACUCCUACGGGAGGCAGCAGUGGGGAAUUUUGGACAAUGGGCGCAAGCCUGAUCCAGCCAUUCCGCGUGCAGGAUGAAGGCCUUCGGUUGU
rnacentral:rRNA from 1 species